GACGAACGCUGGCGGCGUGCUUAACACAUGCAAGUCGAGCGAUGAAGUUCCUUCGGGAGCGGAUUAGCGGCGGACGGGUGAGUAACACGUGGGUAACCUGCCUCAUAGAGGGGAAUAGCCUUCCGAAAGGAAGAUUAAUACCGCAUAAGAUUGUAGCUUCGCAUGAAGUAGCAAUUAAAGGAGCAAUCCGCUAUGAGAUGGACCCGCGUCGCAUUAGCUAGUUGGUGAGGUAACGGCUCACCAAGGCGACGAUGCGUAGCCGACCUGAGAGGGUGAUCGGCCACAUUGGGACUGAGAUACGGCCCAGACUCCUACGGGAGGCAGCAGUGGGGAAUAUUGGACAAUGGGGGCAACCCUGAUCCAGCAAUGCCGCGUGAGUGAUGAAGGCCUUAGGGUUGUAAAGCUCUUUUGCCAGGGAAGAUGAUGACUGUACCUGGAGAAUAAGCCCCGGCUAUCUUCGUGCCAGCAGCCGCCGUAAUAC
rnacentral:rRNA from 1 species